CGAAGAACAAGAUACUGGCCAAAUUCUUCAGGGAACGUCAGGAAACUCUGAAACACUUGCUGCCUCUGGGGUCCUAUCUCUCGAAACCAGUUCAGCGGAUUCUCAAGUAUCAUCUCCUUCUGCAUGAAAUAGAAAACCACCUUGAUAAGGACACGGAAGGCUAUGAUGUGGUGCUUGAUGCUAUAGACACAAUGCAGCGAGUCGCCUGGCACAUCAAUGACGGAGCGGAAACAUGAGCACGCAGUCUGGUUACAGAUCAUCCAGGCUUCUGUUACAGUCCUGAGGGAGAGAGGAAAGCACUGUAUGGCUCUAAAGAAGGGUCUCCUCCAUAUCGGCUGAGAAGAAAAUCUGAACCUUCCUCACGAUCACAUAAACUUUUGAAGACUAGUGAAACAGCACAAGACGUCCAAAAGAGCUUAAGAUGCAAUGGCCAGAAGACAUGAACGUGUCACUAGAAGGAUGUGGACGUGGGCUCCGGGACUGUUGGUGAUGACUGUGAUCUUUUGGGAUCAUCAGGGGAAUGGACAAGGCCAAGGCUGGAGUGCAAUGGCACAAUCUUGGCUCAACGCAACUUCCGCCUCCUGGGUUCAAGUGAUUCUCCUGCCUCAGCCUCCUGAGUAGCUGGGAUGCGCCACCACAGCCAGGGUAGCUCCCCAAAGAAGGAUCCUCAGGCACCUCUGUCCUGCGUUUGGGAGCUGCAUUCCCAAUGGUCCUCCUUUGGCUCACACUGCUCCUGAUUGCCAUGCCCUGUCUCCUGCAAACAAAGGAGGAUCCAAACUCACCAAUCACGAACCUAAGGAUGAAAGCAAAGGCUCAACAGUUGACCUGGGACCUUAACAGAAAUGUGACCGAUAUCGAGUGUGUCAAAGACACCGACUAUUCUAUGCCGGGCACAGAAUUUAUACUUGUGAAAUUUCAUGUUACUGGAUAUAAUCCACUGCUUCAGACUGGUGAGAACUUUGGAUCUUGAUUUCAUCAACCAUGUUAUUUGCUCUCCCUGACUGAGUAUCAUGUCAUCUAUUGUUGUGAUGAGAUUUUGCAUCUUCAUCCAAGUCACCUGAAAAUAUGAUGAAUAAGAUAGGCCUGUGGAGACAGGUCUGUGCCACAUCAUCACAUGACCUGGUUUAACCAGUUAGGAAGGUAGUCAUUGUAUUGACAGACUUUAUCAAGUGCUUUGCAGAAGUAAAGAUGCAAAAUAUUCUCCACAUUUCCUAAUUCUACCUAAGGCAGGAGAUUAGUCUGACAUGAUUUCCAUGUGAAUCUGUACUGUUAUUUAUUAUCAUGUUCACUUCAAAUCCAAACAGUAAAUCGUUAUUUUUAAUAGACUUGCCUGGAAUGUUUCCUGAAAUUAGUGUAUUAUUUCUGGUUCCACCUACUUCUUAUUUGCUUCCACUUCCUCUGGCCCUUUAACAGGCCAGAGCACCCAGGUAUCAUAUCCAAUCCUGCCUUUAUAAGUAUUUUAGGGGAUCUCAGGAAUAUCCCAUUCAUGUCCUUUUGUCCCAGUCAUUCUUGUGCUCAUCCUUAUGUCUCUGGUUUUGAAUAUUUUGCAACAUACUUCUGAAGUGGUGUCAUCUGUCUGGGGUAAAUACCCGAGGUUCAUCAUCUGGCAUCAAGGAAAUCGAGAAUUCAG